ACGCCUUAUACAUGCAAGUCGAACGAAGUAGCAAUACUUAGUGGCAGACGGGUGAGUAACAUGUAGGUAUCUUCCCUUUGGUGAGGAAUAACACGAGGAAACUUGUGCUAAUACCUCAUAAGUCUUUACAGAGAAAGCUUUAUGCGCCAAAGGACGGGCCUGCAUUUGAUUAGUUUGUUGGUGGGGUAAUGGCCUACCAAGACUUUGAUCAAUAGCUGAUCUGAGAGGAUGAUCAGCCACAUUGGGACUGAGACACGGCCCAAACUCCUACGGGAGGCAGCAGUAGGGAAUAUUGCACAAUGGAGGAAACUCUGAUGCAGCGAUGCCGCGUGAGUGAAGAAGGCCUUUGGGUUGUAAAGCUCUUUCGUCGGGGAAGAAAAUGACUGUACCCGAAUAAGAAGGUCCGGCUAACUUCGUGCCAGCAGCCGCGGUAAUACGAAGGGACCUAGCGUAGUUCGGAAUUACUGGGCUUAAAGAGUUCGUAGGUGGUUAAAAAAGUUGGUGGUGAAAUCCCAGAGCUUAACUCUGGAACUGCCAUCAAAACUUUUUAGCUAGAGUAUGAUAGAGGAAAGCAGAAUUUCUAGUGUAGAGGUGAAAUUCGUAGAUAUUAGAAAGAAUACCAAUUGCGAAGGCAGCUUUCUGGAUCAUUACUGACACUGAGGAACGAAAGCAUGGGUAGCGAAGAGGAUUAGAUACCCUCGUAGUCCAUGCCGUAAACGAUGUGUGUUAGACGUUGGAAAUUUAUUUUCAGUGUCGCAGCGAAAGCAUUAAACACACCGCCUGGGGAGUACGACC
rnacentral:rRNA from 1 species